rnacentral:rRNA from 1 species
GUGCCAGCAGCCGCGGUAAUACGUAGGACCCGAGCGUUGUCCGGAUUUACUGGGUGUAAAGGGCGUGUAGGUGGGCGCUUAAGUCGAUGGUGAAAUCCUGCGGCUCAACCGUAGAAUUGCCGUCGAUACUGGGCGUCUUGAGUGCGGCAGAGGGAGAUGGAAUUCAUGGUGUAGCGGUGAAAUGUGUAGAUAUCAUGAAGAACACCGGUAGCGAAGGCGGUCUCCUGGUCCGUUACUGACACUGAGGCGCGAAAGCGUGGGGAGCAAACAGGAUUAGAAACCCCCGUAGUCC